rnacentral:rRNA from 1 species
UACAGAGGGGGCAAGCGUUGUUCGGAAUUACUGGGCGUAAAGGGCGCGUAGGCGGCCACCGCAAGUCAGUUGUGAAAUCUCUGGGCUUAACCCAGAACGGUCAGCUGAUACUGCGGGGCUAGAGUGCAGAAGGGGCAACUGGAAUUCUCGGUGUAGCGGUGAAAUGCGUAGAUAUCGAGAGGAACACCUGCGGCGAAGGCGGGUUGCUGGGCUGACACUGACGCUGACAGCGCGAAAGCUAGGGGAGCGAACGGG